rnacentral:rRNA from 1 species
CGAGAUAUCUAACUAAGACUAACAUCUGUCUCUUAUACACAUCUAGAUGUGUAUAAGAGACAGCAGUUAAGCGUGCUUGGGCGAGAGUAGUACUAUGAUGGGUGACCUCCCGGGAAGUCCUCGUGUUGCAUCCC